ACGCUGGCGGCAGGCCUAACACAUGCAAGUCGAGCGGUAACACAGAGAGCUUGCUCUCGGGUGACGAGCGGCGGACGGGUGAGUAAUGUCUGGGAAACUGCCUGAUGGAGGGGGAUAACUACUGGAAACGGUAGCUAAUACCGCAUAACGUCGCAAGACCAAAGUGGGGGACCUUCGGGCCUCAUGCCAUCAGAUGUGCCCAGAUGGGAUUAGCUAGUAGGUGGGGUAAUGGCUCACCUAGGCGACGAUCCCUAGCUGGUCUGAGAGGAUGACCAGCCACACUGGAACUGAGACACGGUCCAGACUCCUACGGGAGGCAGCAGUGGGGAAUAUUGCACAAUGGGCGCAAGCCUGAUGCAGCCAUGCCGCGUGUAUGAAGAAGGCCUUCGGGUUGUAAAGUACUUUCAGCGAGGAGGAAGGCGUUAAGGUUAAUAACCUUAGCGAUUGACGUUACUCGCAGAAGAAGCACCGGCUAACUCCGUGCCAGCAGCCGCGGUAAUACGGAGGGUGCAAGCGUUAAUCGGAAUUACUGGGCGUAAAGCGCACGCAGGCGGUCUGUCAAGUCGGAUGUGAAAUCCCCGGGCUCAAC
rnacentral:rRNA from 1 species